AUGAACGCUGGCGGCGUGCCUAAUACAUGCAAGUCGAGCGAACGGACGAGAAGCUUGCUUCUCUGAUGUUAGCGGCGGACGGGUGAGUAACACGUGGAUAACCUACCUAUAAGACUGGGAUAACUUCGGGAAACCGGAGCUAAUACCGGAUAAUAUUUUGAACCGCAUGGUUCAAAAGUGAAAGACGGUCUUGCUGUCACUUAUAGAUGGAUCCGCGCUGCAUUAGCUAGUUGGUAAGGUAACGGCUUACCAAGGCAACGAUGCAUAGCCGACCUGAGAGGGUGAUCGGCCACACUGGAACUGAGACACGGUCCAGACUCCUACGGGAGGCAGCAGUAGGGAAUCUUCCGCAAUGGGCGAAAGCCUGACGGAGCAACGCCGCGUGAGUGAUGAAGGUCUUCGGGUCGUAAAACUCUGUUAUUAGGGAAGAACAUAUGUGUAAGUAACUGUGCACAUCUUGACGGUACCUAAUCAGAAAGCCACGGCUAACUACGUG
rnacentral:rRNA from 1 species